UCUCUGAUAGUAUAUCGGUUAGUACACGCGCCUGUCAUAAUAUCUCUGAAAAGGUAUGCGCGCGAAAGCUGGGUUCGACUCCCAGUCAGAGAG